rnacentral:rRNA from 1 species
UAGGGAAUAUUGGACAAUGGGCGAAAGCCUGAUCCAGCCAUGCCGCGUGAUAGAUGAAGGCCCUCUGGGUUGUAAAUAUCUUUUAUCUGGGAAGAAACUCCUCUAUUCUUAGAGGCCUGACGGUACCAGAGGAAUAAGCACCGGCUAACUCCGUGCCAGCAGCCGCGGUAAUACGGAGGGUGCAAGCGUUAUCCGGAUUCACUGGGUUUAAAGGGUGCGUAGGCGGGUUGAUAAGUCAGUGGUGAAAGCUCCGGGCUUAACUUGGAAACUGCCAUUGAUACUGUCCAUCUUGAAUGUCGUAGAGGUAAGCGGAAUGUUGCAUGUAGCGGUGAAAUGCUUAGAUAUGUUACAGAACACCAAUUGCGAAGGCAGCUUACUAUGCGAUAAUUGACGCUGAGGC